CAGACGGACGCCGAUGAGCUGCAAGUGCCGCUGCUGGAGGAGCUCGUCCUCAUCAAAGCCAACGGGGGCGAUAAGCUGAUUGCUGCUGACGACGAGGCACUGCAGCAACUCAUGGUCACCUUGCAGGCACUCAACGUCAAGCUGCACGAAUACUACUCACGCAGCCCUCAGACUAUCGGCAUGACAAAGUACACUAGAAAAUAUCACGAGUACAUGGCAAGCACUCUUCAGCUACUCACCGCCAGCACCAAACACAAUUAGCGCUCCACUACAAGCGCCGUGUCGCAUGCCACGUCAUUGCUCUCGGCUCCACAUUUCCUGUGUUUCACUGACUGGCUCGUCGCUUUAAUUUCGAAGCAUCACAAACUUUUUGGAUGCCAUUAUAAGGUUUUCGGGUUGUUUAUUUUAGCGUUUAUCUGAAGCGUUAGUAAAUCUUCUACUACUACUAUUUUGUUUAUGAAGUUUUCAAGUUUAUUUAGUUUAUCUUCUACACGUUUUAUCCGUGUGUUUUUUUUUAUUCUAAAACCAAAUAAUAGAAGUAAAGUUGCAGAUGAAGGACUCUUCGAGAGAUAAGGAGCAGAUUUAGUCUCGAAGCAUUUCUGAACUUAUUAAUGUAAAGUUUUCGAUUAAAGGAAUAUUUUCGUAAGUAAAAAUAUCGUAGCUUAAUAAAGUAUGAAGUUUA